AGCAAAAACAUGACUAUUGAAAUGACCUUAUGUUGAUAAUUUGCAAUUGGCAAUUAUAGGAGUCUUUGAGCCAUGGAAAUUGGCAAAUGCUAUAAAUCAUGGCUUUACUUUUUCAGAGAACCAUUUUCCCAGUAACACCACUGGUUUCUCCACAUACAUCCUACAAAAGAGGACCUCAAAAAGGAAAUCUCACAUUAAGUGAAACAUGAGACUGUCGACUAUUGAUCAUAAUAUGUAGGUGUCCAGAUGAUGGCUUACGAAUUUGGACUGGAUGUAUGGGCUGGUGGGAAAAGCCUGCCAAAAAUCUGUCCCUUCACUGUUGAUUUUGAUGGAAGACUGAACUUACAUUGGAAUGCAGAAAGUGUCUGAUCAUGUGUUUGAUGAAAGUGCCCAAAGUAAGAAACCCAAGAGCAAAACAAGGGGAAAUGCUUCCAGUGACAUGUAAUAUCCGUUGACCUGCUGGAACGCUGGAUGAUGAUCCUGGGUGAGGAAUAGCAAUUGAAAAAAGCGAAGAGGGAUGCAUGGAACAAGUCGACGGGAAAAUACAAAAAGAGAACAAUUGUCAACAUGUAAGCACUAGCACAUACCAUUAUAGUUGAGACUAUGCUCUGGAGACAGAAUACCUUAAUUCGCUAAAGAUUUUUAGCUGGUAAGUAGAGAGAAAAAAGACACUGGGAGUGAGCGCUCCCAUUUUCCGGUUUUCGUUCCUGAUGCCUGC